rnacentral:rRNA from 1 species
UACGUAGGGGGCUAGCGUUGUCCGGAUUUAUUGGGCGUAAAGAGCUCGUAGGCGGUCUGUUACGUCCGCUGUGAAAACCCAGGGCUUAACCCUGGGCUUGCAGUGGAUACGGGCAGACUAGAGGCAGGUAGGGGAGAAUGGAAUUCCCGGUGUAGCGGUGAAAUGCGCAGAUAUCGGGAGGAACACCUAUGGCGAAGGCAGCUCGCUGGGACGUUACUGACGCUGAGACGCGAAAGCGUGGGGAGCAAACAGG